ensembl:lncRNA
AAGAACUUGAAAGGAAGUAUUGCUCUAAAGAGCUUUUAUUUCAUCCGUAAAUCGUUUACGUGGAAGAUCCACAUUAAUCUGAGCCCAAGACGCCGGAUACAGCGGCGGCUGUUAACCGGGUUGCUGGAGAGGCCUUCCACAGAGGCUGUCGCUUUUCUCCAGGCUACAUUGGCAACUGCACCAGAGCCUUAGACACAUCGUGUACCCGUGCCGCUGCGGGUGGCCUAGCUGCAUUCUGUCUGUCAGCCAGGGUUCGGAAAUUUCCACGUCCUUCUUCGUCCUCGGUCCACAGGUGAGACCCUCUUUGACGGCUAACCUGGCCACAGCUUAAGAACAAAGAUGCCAGGCACAAGGCACAGAAGAACUGCUGCUUAGCACUACCCCAAAAGCGGGGCUGGCGGUGAAAAAGAAGAUUCCAUCUGACAGAACCUGAGAAGAAGUGUCAGGAGCAGCAGUCACGUUCACCCCACGUUCACCCUGCUGUGGUCCACCAGCGUCCUCCGAAGAAGUGACAAUUGCUAAGCUCCCACCAAUUGACACUGUCCUGCCUUUUAACGGGUUCUAUUAUAUUUUUAAUUGUUUUCUCCGGAGCAGUGCAAUAGCCCUGGCACCGAACCGACAAACCUCAAAGAGUGCCGGGUUAAAGAAAAGCAUGCACUGUCCUGAGCUCUAGCACGAGGGGAGCCAGGGCUCCAAGCUCCAAGUUUGGCAUUCUCCAUAAGUAUUGCGAGGUGGAGCUCACUCCACCAUCGCUGGGGUGACCUGGAAGUGGGGAGGAAAAGCCCAGAAAACGUGUGAGGUUUGCUGGAAGAAGGAGAUGCUGUGUUCUUCUGGACUCUAUCAGACACUUGUGGAAGGUAGUCUGAGUUAGCCACUCGCUCCUUGUUAGCUUGCUCAUUUUGCACGAUCUCACCUCUCUCUCCCUUCUAAAUCUCUCUCACCUCUAAAUAUUCUGAAAGUCUGCUUUACACUAAUAAACACGAGAAAGAGGAAAGAACAAUGACGUUUGAUGGGUCUUUCAAAUAUUCAAGCGCUCCUAUUACUGAUGAAGAACUAUGCAGAGAAUUCCUAGUUGGAAACCUAGCUAUGUCAUGGAGCUGUGUCAGUCUGUUUAUAAAUAUGUGUUUUAGGAGCCCCGAAUUCCCUGAAAAACAUUCAGUGUCUUUUAAAUCAAAGACAUAUGAUACAAGCUCUCCAGCACUUGUGUACCAAUAGAGGUCUGACUGGGGGAAACUUCAGUACAGUCCAGGUCAACUGCUACUUAGGAAGCCUUUUCCACCCCAUUACCCAAACCCACUUUUGACCGAAGUAGUUUAAGGGGUUGGGUCCAAGGUGUCACCCACCCAUUUCAGAUCCCGGAAACCUCCUGGAAAUUCAAAUCUAUUACACGGAACCCCUUAUGUUUUGUGACAUGUAACCACUUAUGCCCAUAAAAGAGGCAACAGUUAAUGGCAAACUCCCAUAACGAAUGCAUAAUCUGCAGCUUUUGGCAAGAAGUUGGGUCUUUGGUUGCCAAGAGUUGCAUUAAAUAGAUUUUGAGGGGUUGAGAUAGAGUUUAUAGUAAUGAUACAACCCUAGUCACUAGAGCAUUAAUAUUAAAUUUAAAAUACUAAUUAAGGCAAGAUAAUCGAACGGUUUCUGGAAGUCACAAAGAAGUGGAGUAAACUUAGGAGGUCCUUUCACCUGGGGUGUGUUGGCUGCUGUUUUGAGAGAUACCACUGAAAAUAUACUGAAAUACUUUGAUAAACGCUCUCUCUAUAUAUACACAUCCAGCAUGAUGCCAAC